AACUUUCAACAAUGGAUCUCUUGGUUCUCGCAUCGAUGAAGAACGCAGCGAAGUGCGAUAGGUUUUGUGAAUUGCAGAAUUGUGAAUCAUCGAAUUUUUUGAACGCACAUUGCACCCAUUGGUAUUCCGAUGGCUACACUUGUUUGAGCGUCAUUUCAUUCUCCUAUAUGGGUUUUUAGCUUGAUUAAAUCUCGCUGAAUUAUAGUGGUGUCGCUACCAGACCACAACGUGAUAGAAUUUCGUUGGAUGUGACUGGGAUUGCUCACCUUAAAUAUUAUGUAUAGAUCUCAAAUCAAGCAGGACUACCCCGCUGAACUUAAGCAUAUCAAUAAGCGGAGGCU
rnacentral:misc_RNA from 1 species